rnacentral:misc_RNA from 1 species
UUAAUUUAAUUAAGUGCUUUACUUAGACGACAUAGUUAAACAAGAGUUUAAUAAUGGCUAUCGACGAGCGCGGACCAGAGGUAUAAAACCCUCCGGCGGCCCCUAUGUUUCAAAGGGCGGACUCGCCGAAGCAACAAGUAAUAAAUAGACAAAGGGUUGGAGGUCGGGCCUAAAAGACCCUAACUCGAUAAUGAUCCUUCCGCAGGUUCACCUACGGAAA